AUUAACGCUAGCGGCAGGCAUAAUACAUGCAAGUUGAACGAGAUUAGUUUAGCAAUAGACUAUGAAAGUGGCGCACGGGUGCGUAACACGUAUGCAACCUGCCCUUGACUGGAGAAUAGCCUCUCGAAAGAGAGAUUAAUGUUCCAUAACAUAUAGAUUAAGCAUUUAAUUUAUAUCAAAGCUCCGGCGGUCAAGGAUGGGCAUGCGGUUGAUUAGCUAGUUGGUGAGGUAACGGCUCACCAAGGCGACGAUCAAUAGGGGGUCUGAGAGGAUGUCCCCCCACACUGGUACUGAGACACGGACCAGACUCCUACGGGAGGCAGCAGUAGGGAAUAUUGGUCAAUGGAGGCAACUCUGAACCAGCCAUGCCGCGUGCAGGAAGACUGCCCUAUGGGUUGUAAACUGCUUUUGUACGGGAAGAAAUGUUGCUACGUGUAGCAAUUUGACGGUACCGUAAGAAUAAGGAUCGGCUAACUUCGUG
rnacentral:rRNA from 1 species